rnacentral:rRNA from 1 species
AUUGAACGCUGGCGGCAUGCCUUACACAUGCAAGUCGAACGGUAACAGGUUAAGCUGACGAGUGGCGAACGGGUGAGUAAUGUAUCGGAACGUGCCCAGUCGUGGGGGAUAACUGCUCGAAAGAGCAGCUAAUACCGCAUACGACCUGAGGGUGAAAGCGGGGGAUCGCAAGACCUCGCGCGAUUGGAGCGGCCGAUAUCAGAUUAGGUAGUUGGUGAGGUAAAGGCUCACCAAGCCGACGAUCUGUAGCUGGUCUGAGAGGACGACCAGCCACACUGGGACUGAGACACGGCCCAGACUCCUACGGGAGGCAGCAGUGGGGAAUUUUGGACAAUGGGCGCAAGCCUGAUCCAGCCAUGCCGCGUGCGGGAAGAAGGCCUUCGGGUUGUAAACCGCUUUUGUCAGGGAAGAAAAGGUUCUGGCUAAUACCUGGGACUCAUGACGGUGCCUGAAGAAUAAGCACCGGCUAACUACGUGCCAGCCGCCGCCGUAA